rnacentral:rRNA from 1 species
UACGGAGGGGGCUAGCGUUGUUCGGAAUUACUGGGCGUAAAGCGCACGUAGGCGGCUUUGUAAGUUAGAGGUGAAAGCCCGGGGCUCAACCCCGGAAUUGCCUUUAAGACUGCAUCGCUCGAAUUGUGGAGAGGUAAGUGGAAUUCCGAGUGUAGAGGUGAAAUUCGUAGAUAUUCGGAAGAACACCAGUGGCGAAGGCGACUUACUGGACACAUAUUGACGCUGAGGUGCGAAAGCGUGGGGAGCAAACAGG